UAGUUCGGAUUGUAGGCUGCAACUCGCCUACAUGAAGCUGGAAUUGCUAGUAAUCAUAGGUCAGCAUACUAUGGUGAAUACGUUCCCGGGCCUUGUACACACCGCCCGUCACACCAUGAGAGUUGAGAAUACCCGAAGUCCAUGUCAAAGUGGCCGAAGGUAGGCUUGAUGAUUGGGGUGAAGUCGUAACAAGGUACC
rnacentral:rRNA from 1 species